UUGGGGGUUUGGUAACAUUCGAGCUUAUUUUUAACUGAUAAAAAUUGGAAGUAAGCCAAGAUCAACAACUCCCGCGCCCUUCUGCCAUCCCCACGUCCAGGCGCGUGGAAACGGGCGCCGCACAGGGGACCUGGCGUCCGGUCUGGGUGGAGCCGAGGCUGGGCCUGUGGGUGGGGUGGUGCACACGGAGCCUCGGGGGGCCCUCACCUUUCACAGCCCCCCUGGAGCGGAGAGCAGCGGGCUGUGCACGUGCAUGUCACUGUUGAAGAACGAAGUGCAUGUGGCUAAUGGGAAUACGGGGUGCUGUGAACCGAAUUCAGCAGGCAUUUCUCCAGCAGCUGCUGUGUGCGGGUGGCACCUGGCGCAGGUUGUUCCACCACCUCAGCGGAGCUUUUGGACGUAGGAGACGGGGAUCCCAGCGUCUUGGGGCAGAACGUCGUCAACCUGCAACUCCAGCAGAGAGGCACCGCCCAUCUCUGAGCCUGGGCCGGGAAAGGUUUUCCGAAAGAGUGGAGUUGGGUUGACUUGCAUCCCACCGUGGACCCUGCAGAGAGCACUUGCGGAAGACUGUGUCCUGGCGGUGGUUGUCUCAGUGCCGUUUAUUGUGAAGACCCCUCAUGCCUCAGAGCCAUACGUUAUUCGAGAAGUGGUUUUCCUGGUCGAUUUACUUUUUGGGAAGAAUUGCUUAGAUCUCGGACUUGGUUGUGGACAGGCGUGCACCCCGCCUCUGUGUUUUUAUCUGCAUGGCUGCCAAAUGUCAGCUCUUCGGGUAAAAUAUGGAGCUUAAAUUAUAAUUUGUGCUAAACAAUUGUUUUGGAAAUAAUUGCUAUCUCUAGGAAAAUCUCCUUCACGGGAUCGGAUUUAAAAGCUGUAAGUCAGUAGUAGCGGGGGCAAAACUGGCCACGCAUUUUCAAGGCAGAGUCAUAUAUACAAAUACAGACAUUUGUUUGCAGAGUACAAAUGCCUUGAAUAUUCAGAGCAAAUAAGUCCUGAUCGGGAAAAUAAAGGUAUUUGGAUGUGGCU